rnacentral:rRNA from 1 species
CCUACGGGAGGCAGCAGUGGGGAAUAUUGGGCAAUGGGCGCAAGCCUGACCCAGCAACGCCGCGUGAAGGAAGAAGGCUUUCGGGUUGUAAACUUCUUUUAAGGGGGAAGAGCAGAAGACGGUACCCCUUGAAUAAGCCACGGCUAACUACGGGCCAGCAGCCGCGGUAAUACGUAGGUGGCAAGCGUUGUCCGGAUUUACUGGGUGUAAAGGGCGUGCAGCCGGAGAGACAAGUCAGAUGUGAAAUCCACGGGCUCAACCCGUGAACUGCAUUUGAAACUGUUUCCCUUGAGUGUCGGAGAGGUAAUCGGAAUUCCUUGUGUAGCGGUGAAAUGCGUAGAUAUAAGGAAGAACACCAGUGGCGAAGGCGGAUUACUGGACGAUAACUGACGGUGGGGCGCGAAAGCGUGGGGAGCAAACAGGAUUAGAUACCCGUGUAGUC